UCAUUGCUAAAAGCAAUUUCAAAGUGCUACAGAGUAAAAACAAGAUAUAAAUGAUAAUUAAAAAAACACGUUUAAGAACAUCGGUAAAAGAAAAAGUACUAUAUUAAGGCGAAUGCUUGUUUAAAAAAGAAAGGUUUUUAGGCCCUUCUUCCUCUGAAGUCCUCGUGGGACGGUUUCUCUGUCAGUGCGUCACAAACUGAACUUGAGACUCACCAGCAGAGGGCGCCACGCCAACGUUCUUCACGCUGGAGUCCUUAUCUGGUCAACAUCUCACUUUAAAGAAAUAUGAGGGGUUGGUCUUUUUCCCCCAAUGAGGUACACCCGGGACUCGACGUGAAUCAUCCCCCUGCUUCGAGAGCCUGAAGCUGGGAUAUCGACAGGCUGAUCCAUAUCACAUCAGUUCUGUGUUACCUCAUCUGAAUUCCAUCCUGCGAGUCGCUCUAUAAACCUCAAAUAUCAACUUACAUUCUUAUCUCUCAUGAAAAUCAGACACACGUGUAAUGUGAAAAGCUCCCACUCGCAAUAAUCAACCAGUGGCAGUUUUUCCUCAACAUUAUGGAGCUUCUUCUUUUUUUGUACAGCAUCUUUGAACACAUUACUUCUUCCAUUGCUCUCAUCAGUGGCGUUUACAGCCUGCAGCAGAGGAGACGUCCUAAAAACCCAAGCACCAAUCAGCAGUCAGGCAAAGUUGCCGAGUGGCUGAGUACGAACUGAAAUUCGACUAAUGAACAGAAACAAAAUAUCACCAUAAAUGCUAAUGUAGUUACUGUACAUGUCUAUCGGUUAACAGAGACACUGUAUGAAGUGACAGUUCAUCAAAAAUGUUUUCGCUCUUACCUCAAACCCUCAUCCUACAACAAUUAAUGAACUUUUUUUGCAAUACAGAUGCAGAAAUUAAGUAAAACAUUUUCCUGUAUGUGUUGACCCUGGAGAGAGCGUCUUCUUUUCACCUCUUCCUGUACGGUCUCAUCACAAUAAAAUAUAGAUCUAAAGUAAAAUAUGAACAAGUCACAACAUGUAUCCACACAGAUCUUGUUGGGUUGAUUUGUAGUUGUGCUACACGAUCUACUGACGUGAAUCUAAAAAAAGAAGAAGAAGAAUUUAAGGAGUCAAGUGGCUAACAUAUGUUUUUGUAAUAAUUCAGUUAAUGCCAAACUCUGUCAGACUCUCAAGAAUGACUUGAUGGUACAUUUGUUAAUAUUGUUUCCCGACUUUUAAAUAUAUGCUACAUGUUAAAUUGGAACGGGCAAGAAAAGAUUAAGCAGUUGAAGUGAGUUGUACUCAAUGUGAUAGGGGCAACAAAGUUUUCAUGUUUGAGUCGAAGGAUUUGCUUUAUUGAUUUUGACUUUUUGACCUUUUUUUGUAAGAAUCAGCGAAUAUUGUUAAUAAUAAUAGUUAAAGAUUACUAAUGGAUUAACUGUUGCAGCUGCAGUACAGAGUGAGACGCUUGGCCUUGUUGUAUGGUUUCCAUUCAUUUCCUAAUUGGAUAAUUAUUUGUGUGAUAUAUUGUGGAUAAUUAUUAUCAUGAUUUAUUCUUUGCGAGACAGUUCCCUGUGUGUAUGAAUGGACACCGAUCAACAGAGAUAUUGUUCCUCAAAGCCAUAUGAUAUAACUGUGCUGUUUUAUUAUGCCUGAAAAUGGACUAAGAAUUAUCAAAGCAUAAUUGUCAUUUCAUGGUUAUUAAUUUCUUCCAUGUCUGCAGAAGGAAGCUGAGGUAUGACAUUAUGUAACAUGAUGUCUUGUGAAUACACGACACAAUACUUCCUUGUUUCAA